GUGACACCACUGAGCUAAAUCUCCAGCCCUGGACCUGUAAAUAUUGAGGGCUGAUUGUACUUCCAUUUGACAGUGGUGCAAGUGAUUUUAGCUUACAGUCAGUCUCUACAAAGUACUUCUGUCUGUUGCCCUCAGCAGAGCCUUCCACAGCUGCGGAUUGUUCAGCUUCCUGGUGUUACUCAUGCUGGUCUCCAAUUCCUGAACUCAGAGAUCCUCCCAACCCAGCCUCCUGAUUGCUGGGACUAUCAGUGCCCGUCACCAUGCUUAGCAGCAAUGCCCACUCUUGAUGCCCUCAGAAGUCCAGGACCAUUUCUGCUCGUCUGACACUCCUAAUCAACACAAGUUCCUUAUCAACCUGAGAUCUUCAUCAAUAACUAGGACUUGAACCCAGGGAUCCCUGAGCUACAU